CCUUCCUGCAACAACAACAAAAACGUUCACAGAGACAUUUCUUCUAGUGGCAUUUUCCUUGUUAGACCAUGUUCCUGCUACAAUAGAAGUAUUUUGCUAGGAGCUGUUCCUAGCUGUUUCCUUCAGUAAUAGUGUGCUCUCUGAUUGUGGUUAGGGUGAGGAAAUCCACCAGCCCCUUCCUGGCAGCUCUUUGCUACUUGUAGAAGAAAGAGGAUGGUCACGUAUAAGUUCGAGUGUGGAGAUUGGAUUGGAAGACCAGAGCUGGCAGAAUAGACCAGGCGGGAGUCUGUUGUUGCAGUAGACAAGGAACCCAUUGAAGCUGAGAAGAAUAUUAUCAUUAUGAGCCUCAAUCAUUGGUGAUAUUAAAAAAUACUUAACAACCAAUACGUCUUAGGGCCAACCAUAAUCCAGAAAUGGAAAAGGUCUUUAAUGCCCCCUGCCGAGCCUCACAUUAACCCUUUUGUUGCUGAAUCAGGGCAGAGUAAGAGGGAAUCCAAAAGGAGGGGGUCAGUUGGAGUGGCCAUUCACCCAACAGUACAGAAAGCUGUCAAUAUUUUAAUAAUCGGUAUGGCCACCAGCCCAGUGUGUGCCAGAUGACAGUCAGUCCUGCCUGCACUUGCCGAACAGGAAAAAAAUGGCUUUUCUAGGACUAUCCAUCAGUAAAGGCAGAGCUCGAAUUCAAAGUUAGUCUUCAAGGAUUCAAAUUCUCUACUGUUUUCUCUCUGCCACCCACUUCUUUGCCUAUGUGUUCUUCUUCACAUCCUAUGGACUGCCCUAGCCACUCACUCAGACCAGGAAAAAGAACAACGAAUUCGG